ACGCGGGACACGCCCCCUCCCGCCGCGCCAUUGGCCUCUCCGCCCACCGCCCCACACUUAUUGGCCAGCUCGCCGCCAAUCAGCGGGAGCUGCCGGGGGCUGCCUAAAGAAGAGGCUGUGCUCUGGGGCUCCGGCUCCUCAGAGAGCCUCGGCUAGAUUGUUCCUUAAGGAGAGGACAGUGCUUGUUUAAGGCUGUAUCCCUGCUGUCUGAGCAGAACCAGGUCUUCGAGAUCAACACUUUUUGUAAUACCAAGCUGUUGCCUUUUACAUUCUCAGAAGCAAACAGACACAGGAUUCUCACUGACGAUACUGUCACUAUGUUAAAUGCUGCUGUGCAGUUUGGAUUUUUCUAAGGUAGUUUAGGUAUGGAGUAUGUGUUUAUUAACUUUCUAGGUUAUGCCUUCCAUAAUCUAUACAGUUGUUAUUUUUAAAUCUUGUAGCUUUGUAUAUAAGGAUAAAGGUGUUUUAUUGUCAUAAUGUUCUGAACAUUUCCCCAAAGUUCCAAAUUAUAAAACUGCAACUUUAGAACUUAAUUAGAAAGAUGGUUGUGGUUUUAUAAGAAGAUACUUAAUUGUUCCACUAAUCUUACUUGUGUUUUAAGAUAUUAUAUAAAACUGACAAAUAUGGAAGAGUUGGUCAAGAAACUUUUAGGGAGUGAAAAUAUAUACUGGCUUUAGAGAUCAUUUAACUUGGCAUGUCCUUUGCAACACCCUAACUUUGAACGGUGCUGGCACCAGCUAUGUUGUAGAGUCAUUCCAAUGAGUGUUGGAUUGUUUUGAAUGCUACUGAAUAAUUUAAAUUCAGACUUCUGGUGUUCCAUAAAACAAAACUGUCAUAAGUUUCAAACCACAAAUUAAAAAAACUGAAUAUUUCAGAAGAAAAUUAUUUGUUGUAUUAGCUGGAGAAAUGUAUAAUGCCUAAGAAUUUAGAAACUAUACAGUUGAUAUUGCUGAGUAUCUGCCAGAUGAAAAGAAAUGCUCAGUGUUUCUUUUGAGCAUUAUAGUAACUUGUUAAAGAUUUUUCCCACAGAUAUAAACUCUACUAAAAUAUAUGUAACACUUUUCAAAUUGAUGAAGCUAUUUUAUGUGCAUUGGUGUUUUGCCUGUGCGAAUGUCUGUGUGAGGGGCCCCUGGAACUGGAGUUACAGAUAGUUGUGAGCUGCCAUGUGGGUGCUGGGGAUUGAACCCGGGUCCUCUGGAAGAGCAGUCAGUGCUCUUAAUGGCUAGGACAUCUCUCCAGCCGCAACAACUCAGGCCUCUUCUAUAUUUUAUUUUAUUUGAGACCGUGUUUCUCAAUGUGUAGAACUUACUGUCUGGAAAUUCUUUCUGUGUGCAAGGCCAAAUUUGAACUCAGAUAUCCAGCUCAGCUGCCUCUGCUUCCCUAGUGCUGGGAUUAAAGGCGUGCACCUACCUCUGUUUCCUGAAUGACAGGAUUAAAGGCAUGCACCACCACACUGGGCUUCCUUCUAUUUCUGUAACUCCAGGAACAUUUUUUUCCUCUGUGUCUGUUUUUAAUUUCUUAUUUAUUCUAUUACUUCAUUGUACAUUCAGUUUAAUUUCAAGUGUGUGUGUGUGGACUUGUUGCUGUGCUUCUAUUUAUUUAUGUGAAAGCUUGGCAAUAAACUUAUGUCCUAAAAUAGUCAAAA